AGUGAACGCUGGCGGUAGGCCUAACACAUGCAAGUCGAACGGCAGCACAGUAAGAGCUUGCUCUUACGGGUGGCGAGUGGCGGACGGGUGAGGAAUACAUCGGAAUCUACUUUUUCAUGGGGGAUAACGUAGGGAAACUUACGCUAAUACCGCAUACGACCUACGGGUGAAAGCAGGGGAUCUUCGGACCUUGCGCGAUUGAAUGAGCCGAUGUCGGAUUAGCUAGUUGGCGGGGUAAAGGCCUACCAAGGCGACGAUCCGUAGCUGGUCUGAGAGGAUGAUCAGCCACACUGGAACUGAGACACGGUCCAGACUCCUACGGGAGGCAGCAGUGGGGAAUAUUGGACAAUGGGCGCAAGCCUGAUCCAGCCAUACCGCGUGGGUGAAGAAGGCCUUCGGGUUGUAAAGCCCUUUUGUUGGGAAAGAAAAGCAGCAGGUUAAUACCCCGCUGUUCUGACGGUACCCAAAGAAUAAGCACCGGCUAACUUCGUG
rnacentral:rRNA from 1 species